CGAGAGUUUGAUCCUGGCUCAGGAUGAACGCUGGCGGCGUGCCUAACACAUGCAAGUCGAACGGGGCGUAUGCAGCGGAAGCUUUCGGGCGGAAGCAGCAUACAGCCUAGUGGCGGACGGGUGAGUAACGCGUGGGUAACCUGCCCUGUACAGGGGGACAACAGCUGGAAACGGCUGCUAAUACCGCAUAAGCCCGCGGUGCCGCAUGGCGCUGCGGGGAAAACUCCGGUGGUACAGGAUGGGCCCGCGUCUGAUUAGCUAGUUGCGGGGUAACGGCCCACCAAGGCAGCGAUCAGUAGCCGGCUUGAGAGAGUGGACGGCCACAUUGGGACUGAGACACGGCCCAGACUCCUACGGGAGGCAGCAGUGGGGAAUAUUGCACAAUGGGGGAAACCCUGAUGCAGCAACGCCGCGUGGGUGAAGAAGUAUUUCGGUAUGUAAAGCCCUAUCAGCAGGGAAGAAAGUGACGGUACCUGACUAAGAAGCUCCGGCUAAAUACGUG
rnacentral:rRNA from 1 species